UUGUCUAUUUUUCUCGUCCAGAAUCCACCGGCGGUGGCACAAGUACAGUCCAGCAAAUACCCAGUCACCGGAAACCCUAAGUUUUACUGGAAUCACUCAGAUUGGGACCUAACUCACACCCAAGAAACCCCAACUCACAGGUUUGAACUCUCUCCUGUUUCUCUCACCUAUAGUAGAUCACAAGUGUUCACAUUAGAACCAGAAAGAGAGAUUCAAACUCGAGUGUUUUUCUCACACUUCCCUCUCUCUCUUUGCACGUUUGAUACAUAGAUGCAUAAAGCUGAUUUUCUCUAAAGCAGAGAAUAAGAAAGGAAUUGCCAUCGUUCGGUUAAACGAUUAUAUCGCCGGAAAAUGCCAAGGGGCAUUAAUUGCAGUAGUACGAUUGGUAUUAGGGAGAGAGAGG
rnacentral:lncRNA from 1 species